UGUGAAGUGAUGAAGUUCUUUUAAGCCGAAGUUCAGUGUAGAACAUAUGUGUGUAUAAAUGGUCUUCAAAGUUCUAUGAUUGCU